rnacentral:lncRNA from 1 species
GGGAAACCAAGCUGCCGGUUGGUGAGGGUCACCAGUAGCACCAGGUCAGGAUGUGGGGAGUAAUGAGACCAUGGCCAUUGCCACUAUGAGGAAUGACAGACUAGGUGAGAAAAGGAGGAUACAGCAGACUCCACAAGGGAGAAAAAAUGAGAAAGGCCACAGGGCCCCAGAUAGGGGCAGAAAUGGUGCCCUUUACUCCGUAAUUCUCAAUUCCAGCUUUCUCGAGGUGUCCUUCCUCUUCCUGCCUUUGGCCUCUGGGAUUUAUCCUAUUAUUAAUAACCCUAUUAAUAAUAAUUAUUAUUAUUAACAUUAUUCUGUCUUAUUGAGGAUAAUCUUACAAUGAAAAUUCCUUUAGCUUGAACCUGUGUGAGUAGAAAUAUAUUCCUCAAACCCCAAAGAGCCUUGACUAAAGUAGUGACCUAUGUGAGCACCACGGGAAAUGAAAAUCACUCAACAUUUAGUGAAGGAGGUUGUGAUCAUAAAAGCUGGCUGAGAGAUCCACAUGGGGCAUCCUUAAGGUCUCCAGUUGAGUUCAGCAUCCCUGAAGCUAUGCUUCCAUAGUGCUCCAGUGCUCUGUGCAUUUCCAAGGGUGGCAAAGAUGAAUAAAUCUCUGCUAUAAUUCCAGAACCUUCUAUGUGUUUCCAAAAGCAAAAGAAAUGAAUACAUUUCUGGUGUUGGUGUUGUUUGAGGAUGUGGCUAAGGACUUCACUUGGGAGGAGUGACCAGAUCUGGAUGAUGCUUAGCAGACCCUGUACAGAGACAUGAUGCUGGAGACCUACAGCAGCUUGGUAUCCUUGGGACACUGCAUUACCAAACCUGAGAUUAUCUUCUGGAGCAAGGAUCAGAGCCAUGGACAAAAGGGCCCAAAACACAGCCUCCCAGCCAUGUGAAGGUGCCUGCUACCACUUUGCCUUGUGCCAUAAGUCAGAGUUCCCUGAGACCUCCCCAGAAUCAGAUGGUGCCAUGCUUCCUGUACAGCCCAGACAAUCGUGAGCCAGUUAAACCUAUUUUCUUUAUAAAUUAAAAAGAAAAGAAAACAAGUGUAAGCAAGGAUAUGAAGAAGAGAACCCUUGUACACUGUUGGUGAAAAUGAAAAUCAGUGCAACCACUAUGGAAAAUAGUAUGGAGGCACCUCAAAAAAUUUAAAUCAGAAAUACCAUACGAUCCAGCAAUCCUACUUCUGGAUAUAUAUUCAAAGGAGUUGAAAUCAGGGUCUUGAAGAGAGAUCUGCACUUUUACAUUUAUUGCAGCAUUAUUCACAAUAGGCAAGAUAUGGAAUCAACUUCAGUGUCCAUCAAUGAAUAAAUGGACAACGAAAUUGUGAUAUUAAAAAAAGUAUAUACUUAUGGUAUAUGAUACAAUGUUUUGAUAUAUGUAUACCUUGUAGAAAGUCUAAAUCAAGCUAACUAACAAUGAAUUACCUUGUUUUUAUCAAUUUAAAAGUAAUUUUUUUUUUUUGACACAGAGUCUUGUUCUGUCACCCAGGCUGGAAAGCGGUGAUCUCGGCUCACUGCAAUCUCUGCUUCCCGGGUUCAAUCGAUUCCUAUGCCUCAGCUUCCCGAGUAGCUGGGAUUACAGACAUGCACAACCACACCUGGCUAAUUUUUGUAUUUUUAGUAAAGAUGGGGUUUCACCCUAUCUCUCAGGCUUGUCUCGAACUCCUGGCCUCAUGUGAUCGGCCCACCUCAGCCUGCCAAAGUGCUGGGAUUACAGGCAUAAGCCACUGCACCCAGCCAGUUUUUUUUUAAAAGUAAAGAUAAUUAUAUAUAUGUGUGUAUACACACACACACAUACAUAUAUAUAUAUACACACAUGCACACACACAAUGGAAUGUCAGCCUUUAAAAAGAAGGAAAUCCCGCCAUUUGCAGCAACAUUGAUUAAACUGAAGGUCAUUAU